GUUGAGGUGGCAGAAUAGUGCAUUAGGCUUAAGUCCUAAAGAUAAAGAUGAAAUCUCUUUUCUUAAUA
rnacentral:tRNA from 2 species